rnacentral:rRNA from 1 species
AAAUUUCCCUCAGGAUAGCGGCCAUCGCGGAAACGUUUUGACCGGUAGAGCGAACGACUAGAGGUACCGGGGCCGUAACGGCCUCGACCUAUUCUCGAACUCCGAACGGGCAAGGAGCCGGGGUCGCCCGAUCGGACCCCGGACGUGAAGUCGACGAUGGUCGGUGGGCUGGUUUUGGUAAGCAGAACGGGCGAUUCGGGAUGAACCGGAAGCGGGGAGAAAGGGCCCGAGAUUGCGUCGACGCGGAUCCCGAAAAGGGCGUCGAUCCGUCGCGACAGCGGGACGGUGGUCAUGGAAGUCGAAAUCCGCUAAGAAGCGUGUAAAAACGUACCCGCCCAACGGAUCGGCCCCGAAAAUUGAUGGCGCUCGAACGCAACCCUCGAACCCCGCCGACGGAGGCUAGGGGAGGCCCCGUCGAGUAGGCGGACGCGCGGGUCGCUUCGACGCUCCCGCGCGAGCGGGGGCGGAGCGGCCCGUGGUGCAGAUCUUGGUGGUAGUAGCGAUCACCCAGG